rnacentral:pre_miRNA from 1 species
CUACUACUCCCUCCGUUCGGAAUUACUUGUCACAAAAAUGAAUGUAUCUAUAACUAAAAUACAUUUAGAUACAUUCAUUUCUUGGACGAGUAAUUCCAAACGGAGGGAGUAGAAC